rnacentral:rRNA from 1 species
UACGUAGGGUGCGAGCGUUGUCCGGAAUUAUUGGGCGUAAAGAGCUCGUAGGCGGCCUGUCGCGUCGGAUGUGAAAGCCCGGGGCUUAACCCCGGGUCUGCAUUCGAUACGGGCAGGCUAGAGUGUGGUAGGGGAGAUCGGAAUUCCUGGUGUAGCGGUGAAAUGCGCAGAUAUCAGGAGGAACACCGGUGGCGAAGGCGGAUCUCUGGGCCGUAACUGACGCUGAGGAGCGAAAGCAUGGGGAGCGAACAGG